GGGAAUCUUGCACAAUGGGGGCAACCCUGAUGCAGCGACGCCGCGUGAGCGAUGAAGCCCUUCGGGGCGUAAAGCUCUUUCGACCGGAACGAUAAUGACGGUACCGGGAGAAGAAGCUGCGGCUAACUCCGUGCCAGCAGCCGCGGUAAUACGUAGGCAGCAAGCGUUGUUCGGAGUUACUGGGCGUAAAGAGUGCGUAGGCGGUUUUCUAAGUUCGGUGUGAAAUCUCCCGGCUUAACGGGGAGGGUGCGCCGAAGACUGGGAAGCUGGAGUGUGGGAAAGGCAGGCGGAAUUCCUGGUGUAGCGGUGAAAUGCGUAGCUAUCAGGAGGAACACCGGCGGUGUAGACGGCUUGCUAGACCAUAACUGACGCUGAGGCACGAAAGCGUGGGUAGCAAACA
rnacentral:rRNA from 1 species